rnacentral:rRNA from 1 species
UACGUGAGGGUGCAAGCGUUAAUCGGAAUUACUGGGCGUAAAGCGUACGCAGGCGGCUGUGUAAGACAGGUGUGAAAAUCCCCGGGGCCUAACCUGGGAACUGCAUUUGUGACUGCAUAGCUAGAGUCUGUCAGAGGGGGGUGGAAGUUCCAACGUGUAGCAGUGAAAUGCGUAGAGAUGUGGAGGAACACCGAUGGCGAAGGCAGCCCCCUGGGAUAAAGACGUGACGCUCGAUGAUACGAAAGCGUGGGGAGCAAACAGG